GGGCGCAUAGCUCAGUUGGCCAGAGCGCCUGCCCGACACGCAGGAGGUCGCUGGUUCAAGUCCAGCUGCGCCCACCA
rnacentral:tRNA from 1 species